rnacentral:rRNA from 1 species
AGCAGUCGCCGCGGUAAUACAGAGGGUGCAAGCGUUAAUCGGAAUUACUGGGCGUAAAGCGCGCGUAGGUGGUUCGUUAAGUUGGAUGUGAAAUCCCCGGGCUCAACCUGGGAACUGCAUCCAAAACUGGCGAGCUAGAGUAGGGCAGAGGGUGGUGGAAUUUCCUGUGUAGCGGUGAAAUGCGUAGAUAUAGGAAGGAACACCAGUGGCGAAGGCGACCACCUGGGCUCAUACUGACACUGAGGUGCGAAAGCGUGGGGAGCAAACAGGAUUAGAUACCCCGGUAGUCCCUGUCUCUUAUAC